GAUGAACGCUAGCGACAGGCUUAACACAUGCAAGUCGAGGGGCAACAUGAUUUUAGCUUGCUAAAAUUGAUGGCGACCGGCGCACGGGUGAGUAACGCGUAUGUAACUUGCCUACCAGAGGGGGAUAGCCCGGCGAAAGUCGGAUUAAUACCGCAUAAAACAGGGGUUCCGCAUGGAAAUAUUUGUUAAAGGAUUACCGCUGGUAGAUAGGCAUGCGUUCCAUUAGAUAGUUGGUGAGGUAACGGCUCACCAAGUCGACGAUGGAUAGGGGUUCUGAGAGGAAGGUCCCCCACAUUGGUACUGAGACACGGACCAA
rnacentral:rRNA from 1 species